rnacentral:rRNA from 1 species
AUUGAACGCUGGCGGCAGGCCUAACACAUGCAAGUCGAACGAGUGGCGGACGGGUUAGUAAUGUCUGGGAAAGUGCCUGAUGGAGGGGGAUAACUACUGGAAACUGUAGCUAAUACCGCAUACUAUCGGAUGUGCCCAUAUGGGAUUAGCUAGUAGGUGGGGUAAAGGCUCACCUAGGCGACGAUCCCUAGCUGGUCUGAGAGGAUGACCAGCCACACUGGAACUGAGACACGGUCCAGACUCCUACGGGAGGCAGCAGUGGGGAAUAUUGGACAAUGGGCGCAAGCCUGAUGCAGCCAUGCCGCGUGUAUGAAGAAGGCCUUCGGGUUGUAAAGUACUUUCAGCGGGGAGGCGUUACCCGCAGAAGAAGCACCGGCUAACUCCGUGCCAGCAGCCGCGGUAAUUC